rnacentral:rRNA from 1 species
GUCCUUUAGAAUUUGAUUUAAGGUCUAGCCUGCCCACUGAAUUUUUUUUAAUGGCCGCAGUAAUUUGACUGUGCAAAGGUAGCAUAAUCAUUAGUUUUUUAAUUAAAAGCUUGUAUGAAGGGUUGGACGAAGUAAAAUCUGUCUCUAAUUAAUUUAAUUUAGAAUUUAACUUUUAAGUCAAAAGGCUUAAAUUUCAUUAAAAGACGAGAAGACCCUAUAGAUCUUUAUAGUUUAUUUAUUAAUUUUAAUUAAGAAUUUUUUAAAUUUUAUUAAUAUAAUUAUUUUAUUGGGGUAAUGUAAAGAUUAAUUUAAUUCUUUUUUAUUAUUAACAUUAAUGUAUGUAUUUAUGAUCCAAUUAUAUUGAUUAUAAGAUUAAGUUACCUUAGGGAUAACAGCGUAAUUUUUUUAGAGAGUUCUUAUCGAUAAAAAAGUUUGCGACCUCGAUGUUGGAUUAAAGAUUAUUUCAGGUGCAGAAGUUUGAAAAAUUUGGUCUGUUCGACCAUUAAAUCUUUACAUGAUCUGAGUUCAGACCGGCGUAAGCCAGGUCGGUUUCUAUCUUUAAUAAAUUAAAAUAUUUUAGUACGAAAGGACCAAUUAUUUAAUAUAAAAUAUUUAAAUUUUGAUUAUUAGUA